UACAGAGGGUGCAAACGUUGCUCGGAAUUAUUGGGCGUAAAGCGCACGUAGGCGGCUUGUUAAGUCGGAUGUGAAAGCCCCGGGCUCAACCCGGGAAGUGCAUACGAUACUGGCAAGCUUGAGUAUGGAAGAGGGUCGCGGAAUUCCCGGUGUAGAGGUGAAAUUCGUAGAUAUCGGGAGGAACACCAGUGGCGAAGGCGGCGACCUGGGCCAAUACUGACGCUGAGGUGCGAAAGCGUGGGGAGCAAACAGG
rnacentral:rRNA from 1 species